ensembl:lncRNA
AUUUCUGCUGUAUUUCUGUUGUGUAUUUCAGCAAAAUGAUUCACACAUUCUUUUUCAUAUUCUUUUCCAUUAUGGUUUAUUGCAAGAUGUUGAAUAUAGUUUCCUGUGCUAUAUAGUGUCCUACUCUUGGUGACCCUAUGGACCCUAGCCUGCUAGGCUCCUCUGUCCAUGCUAUACAGGAGAACUUUUUUUAUUCAUUCAAUUAAUAAUAGUUUGCAUUUGCUAAUCCCCAAAUCUCAAUCUUUUCUCCACUUCCCCUCUCCCCUUUGGUGAACACAAGUCUGUUCUCUAUGUCUGUGAAUCUGUUUCUGUUUCAUAAAGAAUGUCUACCUUAUAUUAAAUAAACCAUAGUAAAUUAAAUUCCAGAGCAUAAUAACAUUUAUUAUAACAACUGCACCUUAAGUGGACAUGAUGAAGACAUGUAAUAUAUAAUAGUUAAUUUAAUGAAAUUGGGAAUAACAGGAUUAUGUGUUCAGACUUGAGAAUAUUAUUAUUAUAUGUAACCAUAUAAUUGUAGCCACUACAGCUGUAUUAUGUUUAUUUUAGCAAACCUAGGGUAAGAAAGGUAUGUGGCUGCAGCAGAAGAGUAUCACUAAAAUCUUUUUCCUGUGUCUGUGUUUCUUACCAGAAGUUUACAUUUAUGCUGAAUUUUGGUCUGUGUUGGUUCAACCUGGUGUAGCANNNNNNNNNNNNNNNNNNNNNNNNNNNNNNNNNNNNNNNNNNNNNNNNNNNNNNNNNNNNNNNNNNNNNNNNNNNNNNNNNNNNNNNNNNNNNNNNNNNUGAAUUUUGGUCUGUGUUGGUUCAACCUGGUGUAGCAAGACAUAAGGUUCUUACAGCCAUUGUCCAGAGAAUAUGUGCUGCCGAAGCGAGCAUGGGAGCAAGCUCUUUCCUGGAUCUUCUGCCUGAAGGUAAAGGCUUUCUCUCAGAGUUUUAGGAGCCCAUCCAACCAUAAUUGUCACUGCACUCAUACUGCUUUGGGGAAGGCUGGAAUACAGGAAAAUAAAACAAAGCAGAGAGACUUCAUCAAAGCACACAGGCAUGUCACUGCCCCAUCCUCUGAUCAGAGAAAGCAUGUCUUUUGGAGAUUUAUGUCCACACUUGCUGCACAGUUCCAGGAUUUGGGUUGCCAUUGGUCCAGGCUGGGAAACUGCUGUUCAGGUUGUUCUUUGAGUUUUGGUUGCCCUUUUCAAUGUGCUUGCUCUUAUUUAUUUUCAAAAUCCACAGAUAGUUGCUUUUUUUGUAUUCUGUUGCAGGGGUUUUAUUUGUAAUUACCAGGAGAGUUAGGGUGUAGUGGGCUUAUACCAUCUUAAAUGGAAACAGAAAUUCCUUGGUUAGCUCUUAAACUGAGCUGAUACGUAUGAGAUCUGAUAUGUCCACUGUGUAUUGCGAUAUAAAGAUCUUUAAUCCACUAGAGUUACUUAUUUGUUAAACAACUUAUUCACUAAAUAUUUGAAUACCUACUGUGUUCUACACCUUAAAAAUGUGUUAGAAUAUGCUUAUAAAUAAGUCCCAGUUUCUACCCAAGUGUUUCAUUGUCCAGUACGGAAGACAGAUAUACCAGUAAUUGCAGUACAGAAUAAGUGCUAUCAUGGUUCAUGGAUUUUCUUUUAUGGGAGUGGGUAGAAACCCCAAGAAGUGAACGUCUUCAAAGGCUAAGCUCUUUGGAUCAGACGUCCCCUUGGUCUUCUGGCAGCUCCCUGUUGCUUUCUCUGCUUUUUAUUAAUAGUCCAGAAUAGUUCAUUCCAAGGUACAACUAGAUGUUUCUAUUUUACAAAGAGAUUUAAUGACAUAUAUUUUAAGCAAAAUUAAAAGUAAAUUCUCACCUAACUGGGUUAGUUGAGACAAAUUUAUUUAGAAACCAGGAAUCUUUUCCAAUUUCCUCUGCCAUCCUUACACCUUGGUCUCAGGAUCUUAUCUCUUGACCAAGAGUAAAUCCCCUCCAUUGCACAUUUUGAAAAUACAUCCUUUUUACCGUGGAGCCAGUUCCAAGCUGUAGAUAUGAAUUCUAUUUUAGCUUCUUUUCAGGGCUUCAAACCACCCCUGAUUUUAGUUAUCUAUCACUGCUUAAAAAAUUAUCCCUAAAACUUAGUAGCUUAAAAUAGCAAAUAUCUAUUAUCUCACAUUUUCUGUGAGCCAGAUGUUAGAUGCCUCUGGUUCUUAGUCCCUUGUGAGGUUUCAAUUAAGUUAUCAGAUGAGACCACAGUCUCAUGUGAGGCUCAGCUGGGGAAACAUGCACUUCUGAGUUUGUUCAGUUCCUCUUAGGGUGUUGGGCUGAGGGCUUCUGUUCUUUGCUAGCUGUUAAUGAGUUCUGUGCCAUGUAUCUACAGUUCCUUGCUGUCUCUUCAGAGGGCUGCUCUUCACAUGGCAGCUGACUUCUCUCAGGACAAAUGUGUGAGAGAGUGGGAGGACAUUAAAGACAGAAGCCGUGGUCUUUAUGGAACCUAACCCCAGUAAUAAGCCAUCACUUUUUGUCAUAUUCUGUUUGUUAAGAGGAAGCCACUAAUCCAGCCCACACUCAAAAUGAAAGGAUUGCAAAUCUUGACUGCUUGGAUCAGUGCAUUUCUUAUUUGCUUUGCCCAGGACUUCUCUAUUUUAAGUCAUGGGCUAAUAUAACCUUCAAAUGCUGACUCAAAGCUUCUCAAACUUCAUAGAUAUUUGUUUCUGUCCUUUCAUUUUGUUUAUUCAUCUUACCUUUGAACUAUUUCUUUUCUAGUUUGGAUUCAAUCAAAUUAGAUCCCCCUUUAAAAAGAAUUCAUUUGAAUCAGUUCUGAUGAGAUGGAUGAAACUG